ensembl:miRNA
AGCCUGUUGAUUGGCGUCUUACCAGACAUGGUUAGAUGUAAUUAAUGGUGUCUAAUACUGUCUGGUAAUGCCGUCCAUUAAAUGGCA